UGCCAGCCGCCGCGGUAAUACGAGGGGUGCAAGCGUUGUUCGGAAUUAUUGGGCGUAAAGCGCGUGUAGGCGGUUCGUUAAGUCUGAUGUGAAAGCCCGGGGCUCAACCCCGGAAGUGCAUUGGAAACUGGCGAACUUGAGUACGGGAGAGGAAGGUGGAAUUCCGAGUGUAGGGGUGAAAUCCGUAGAUAUUCGGAGGAACACCAGUGGCGAAGGCGACUUACUGGACGAUGACUGACGCUGAGACGCGAAAGCGUGGGUAGCAAACAGGAUUAGAUA
rnacentral:rRNA from 1 species